AGGAGGGGGAGAGCUGGCAGCCAGCCAGCCACCAUCAGAAUUAGCUCAUUGUUCAAUAGAACCAGCACAGGCAACCAAACCCCAGCCUGGGAGAGGGAGAGACUUUCUCCCAGCUGCCCCCACCCCUUUUCUUUUUUCCUCCAAGGCUGCUGCACUUUGGAAGAGAUCAUGUAGAAAGGACAGAAAGGGAGCAGGGGCUUUUGUCUAUUAUUCUCUUUGUGGUACCGGAGAGAAACUGCAGUCCCAAGACUUAAGAGUC